UACGGAGGGGGCGAGCGUUAUUCGGAAUUAUUGGGCGUAAAGGGCGCGUAGGCGGCCUGCUAAGUCGGAUGUGAAAUCCCUCGGCUCAACCGAGGAACUGCAUCCGAUACUGGCGGGCUUGAAUCCGGGAGAGGGAUGUGGAAUUCCAGGUGUAGCGGUGAAAUGCGUAGAUAUCUGGAGGAACACCGGGUGGCGAAGGCGGCAUCCUGGACCGGUAUUGACGCUGAGGCGCGAAAGCUAGGGGAGCAACGG
rnacentral:rRNA from 1 species